rnacentral:rRNA from 1 species
GUCUAGGGGUAUGUAGGUAGCGUCUUUUUACCGUUAGGGGUGAUAUGUAGGUUAGGGAGGAAGGAAGACAGGGGUUCCGGGUUUCGAGCCCGGCAGAAGGAGGAGGAGGAGGAGUAGAAGAAGAUGUCCUCGCCGCCUAGAUGUCAGAGGUCUCGAGGGCCCUUCCUUUUAUAGGCACUUUCUUUCUCUGACUACUCGGUUUCGCACUGCUGACGUGCGGAGGCGAGUGGAUUGGUUUGGGGAGGAAUUUGUUUCGGAGAAGCAGAGAGUGUAGUGGGGGAGAGGGAAGAAUAGCGGAGGAUGGAGUGAGGGAGAGGAGAGGAGAGAGGGGGGUGUAGACGGCGGUACCGGGUUCGAACCCGGAAGGAGGAGGGCCAGGAGCAGGAGCCGAGGAUGCAUUGGUCGGAGAAGAAGGGGUCGAUAUAUAGGUUGGGGGAGACGCCGCCGCUACCCCCGUCUAGGAACAAGGAGACGCGCGUCCGAGGGUUCCUGGUCCUGGGCAGAGGACGACAGUCGUGGUACAUGUUCUGGCGGAAGGUGAAGGUCGGGCGGUUCUUGACCUACUUGCUAGGUAGACCUGGUUACAUGAAGUUACCGUAGAUGGUACUUAAGAUGGUCAUAUUAGAGUUGCCAGGGUAAAAACCACUGUAUCAAACCCCGGUAAGCCAAAGUUGUCUGGAACAGUUGACCUAGCCCGAACUUGGGCGCAAUCAUGCCCUAUGGGGUUCACUGUAUCUGCCAACGACCUGGCCGAGUCAGUGGUAAGACGGACCACCAUUUGGCUAGUAGUAUAUGUGACCACCGCUGUAUCUAGUUGUAGUCCGUGUUUUGUAGCGCAAAGGGUUUUUGGCCAGACUGGGCAUGGACUCCCUUACCUAGUUUCGUGGGUUAUUGGGCCACGAGGCUGGCCUGCUUGGUCCCUACUUGAGGUAGCUCAAGUCCCUAGGCUGUUGGCCAACCUAGCCUGGCCUGCCUGACACCUCCUACCGUCAACCACCACUCGACUUGCCGAUGUCACGACGCGAAAACAUGUUCUCACUUCUGAAAGACUUAACCUGUUUUCAACUAGUGGGUGACAUAAGUGUAUUACCUAGGUUAUACACCCUCACAGGCCUAAAGAAACGCCAUAACGGCCCGUUAUUGCGACCUGACCUAGACAGGCGUCGCUAGGGUGUUCCGCGGUUCGUACGGGAGUUUUACUCGCACCUAAGUCAACUGUUCAUGUACUAGCCCCACAUACUAGAGGUUGCACUACGGAAACACGGUCUAUUACAGCAUCUACUGGCAGCCAACACCGACUCUUAUCUAAUACCGUGAAAGAUACGAAGUUUUAGUAAGAAACUGAGCUUGUUCUUGUCCUCCUAGUAUACCCCAACCAGAUCCCUCUGUCUAUCAGGAAGUCUACUGGAACUUUUUCCAACCCGUCCUGAGGUAUGUUAGGGGUCCUGGUAAACCAAUCGGCCGCUACCGUUCGUCAACAAUGUUACCGGUCAACUCCUCUAACUCAGGGAAGCUUGUUUACUUUAGUCGGUAGUUCCUUAUCUCGAGUUGUUCCCUCUAGAUAAACUCUAGUUCCUUCAACUGCGAAAAGUCCGACUACAUCUCUAUCUAAAACUCGACCGCAGGUAGCUACUGCGGCUAGGAAAACUAGGAAGGACCGAAAACCUGGGGCUCUUCGUAACACCUCUUCGCCCACGUAGUCAAGGACCACCAUAUCCAGGUAAACCUGAACAGUAAGACCGGAGGCUGUUGUACCUGCUCGUGUGACUCCACAUAAAGUCUCAGAUGUUCAGUGUCCUUUUCAUGUACCAUGAGUACACGAGACUAGAUUCUUCCAGAAGGGACUCUGGUCUAGACCUCUUUGGUCGGAUACCUCCGAAGAAACUUAAACUAGAACUUUUCCUUUCCUUCUAUAGUGAGUCUUGAGACUAACUGGCCAGCCGUCACCUCUCGAAGCCACCGCCACCGUCCCAAACGUAGUGUAGGUCUCAAAUAGGCCGCCACGAGCGGCUGCAGCCGUCCCGGGUGUAAAUGCGUAAGUUGUUACCUUCACGGUGCCAGUCCCACGGUGUCGAGUCGCGUACCUGGUACUCCUUCCGUGUUCACUUACACCUCUUCCCAACCUCACGAUAAAUUUUCUCUCCUAGUUUAACUAAAAGAGCUAAGAAAAUGACAGUAAGUACUCGUAACGGACCGUCUUUAUUCCUGUAAGUCGACCUUUUUUAUCGGAUAGUAAAGAAACCAGAGAUCAUAAGUAUAUAACAUCAAUGAUGAAUCAUACGGGAAGGGUAGAGUCAAUGAACAUAGUUAAAAAUAUCUUUGCGUGUGAUCAGUACUUUAAGUGCCCUACUCAUGAAGUCAGUGUGUAUUCUUAGAGAACUUUACAAAAUUUCACCAAUGUUCUGAGUCACUUGUUUGUACAGUAUACGAGGAAGUGCCACAACUCUACAGGACGACUGAACAGAAAGAACA